GCUUGUGGUGCGAGCUCUCAGUUCUCACGCUACGGGUACAUAUUUCAUUCAUGAAAUCAAUAGGCAAUAACCGAUGCCUGAUCUUUAUGGAACUCAUUCAGUGCAAGGGCACGUUUUAUGUGGUCUCACAAGGUAAAUGUAAAAUGGAUGGUGUUGAAAAAGCCAGCAAGUCCUUGGCCCAAGAGCUGGGGCUGCUGCACCGAGCCAGGUACUGGCCCUGUGUCUCUUCGGUGACACAAAGGUCUGGUCCCCACCAUCAUGGGUACUACUGCAGGGUGACAGCCUGAGUUACCACCUAGCAUUGGGGAACAUGAAGGAAGCUGGAAAUUACAACUGAGCAUGCAGAGAAGACGGUAGAAACCACGCUGAUCUCAUGGGAUCUUCAAGCCUAUAAUCUACAUGGGUUUAUGCCUGAACUUAGCUUUACGCUAGUUUCUUAUAUGGAGAUGAAGAAGAAUGACUUGGGAGUGCCUGUAGAGGGUGUAAUUUUACCCAUCCCUUGAGUGAUAUAUCACAGAGCAGAGGUGAACCUCCUCUUCUAGCAGCAGCACUGUUUUAGGUGCCAUCAAUGACAUCCUUGUCAGCCAGAUAUGUGUACUGACUGCUACACUUCCUAAAAUGCUGUUGACUUUGCUGAUGGUUCAAAGUGUGGGGAAGUUUCAUAGGCUUCAGAUCUGGAUGCUUAUCAAAGCCUGCCUGCUCUCCUGCAGUACAAGAAGACCUGUACGUGAUCUUCUGCUCCUCCCGUGCCCUGCCACAUUAAACCAUUUAUGUAGAAAGUAAAUGGUCAGAUAUAUGAAUGCUGAAAGCUCUCUACUGUCAUCCUGCGAUGUGCUGCAGCACCCAGAGGGAGGAGUGAGCCUGGAGACCACCUCUUUCACAGCAGUGAGCUCCUGGUGCCACAGCGAUGGCUGUAUGUACAAAAGCUGUUGGUAUGGUGCUGUCUCUGACCAGAACAGCAAGCCGUGCCCAGCUGGGGGAGAGAAGCACAUCUUUGAACCAACCUUCUCUUUCUUUCUCCCAGCACUGACUUCCAUGGGCUGCAAAGAGAAGCAUUUCUCCCUCACUUCACCAGUGCUGUGUGAAAUGCCCUCUAAAUGCUAAUUUCAUUUCACUUCUACAACAGUAGAAAUAAAUACAGCACAAAUCUUCCUUCUCUGCAGUGCUUUUUUUCUUGACUGCUGUAUCUAAAUGUCCCUUCGAUCUAGUAUCUCUUAAUAGUUCAGUAAAGAAUUACUCAUGGGACUAUCCUUUUUUUUUUUUUUUUUUUUUUGCCUUGAAGGCAGUCCCUAUUACUCCACAGUAUGGAAACCAACUGGGAAAGUAAUCUAUGCAAAUUACAUGUACUUUUCGGGUUGAAUCGCAUUCCCUUCGCUCAUGGUAAUGAGUCACUUGGCAUGAAGUGGACUUACAGUGAAUGGAGAGAGCAUAUAAGGGCGCUGCUUCUCAAGAAUUACUUCUACUUGCUGAAUCUCAUUUAGGCCUGGAACCAUGAGGGGUGAGGCUCUGCU
rnacentral:lncRNA from 1 species